rnacentral:tRNA from 7 species
GCGCGAGUGGCGGAAUUGGUAGACGCGCUGGCUUCAGGUGCCAGUGUUCGCAAGAACGUGGGGGUUCAAGUCCCCCCUCGCGCA